CGGAACUCUGAACCCGCAGAGUGAAGUUACUUCCGCAAUCACAUGAUGCGGAAGUUUAAAGCGGCUGACGAGACGCUGAUCAUAACGUUUGUUAAAGCAUUUCUAAUAUCGCACAUUAUCAGAGGGGAAGAGUCAUCCAUCGCUCACGUCAGUGGUCCGUCACUCCCUAUAUCCUCACAAAGCCCUCAGCUUUCUCUUCUUGUUCAAACGGUCCUCUCCAGUCUCCAGUCAGUGGGAGGAACCAUCCCUUUACAGUGUGUCGACAUUAGGAUGGGAAGAGGAAAAGCUGACAAAUGGAUACAGUUUAGCUGAGAAACCUUUCAAAGGGAUGUUGGUCCAUGCUGAUAUGAUGACAUCAUGCCGUUUCUGCAGUUCGGAUGGCGGGACACUACCGCCACCAGCCUGUACCGUUGACAUGGGUUGGAUGGGUCGGACAGGUUGGAUGGGUCGCUGGACUCAUGCUGCUUAUGCCAAAUCUUGACUCUGCCAUCAGCAUGACGCAACAGGAACUGGGAUUCCUUGGACCAGGCAAUGUUUUCCCACUCCUCAAUUGUGCAGUAAUAGUGAACGCGUGCCUUUCUUUUCUUUUUAACUGACAGGAGUUGAACCCGGUGUGGUCGUCUGCUAUAAUAGCCCAUCCGUGACAAGAAUCAACAAGUUGUCCCGAGAUCUCAUUCUACACACUACUGUUGUGUUGCAUUAUCUGUCUGGUUAUGGCCCACCUGUUAGCUUGCAUGAUUCUGGCCAUUCUCCUUCGACCUCUCUCAUCAACGAGCUGUUUUCGCCCACAGGACUGCCGCUGACUGGAUGUUGUUUUUGUUUGUCGCACCCUUCUGGGGAAACACACUGUCGUGAGUGAACAGCCCAGGAGUUCGGCCAUUUCUGAGAUACUGUAAUCGCCGAUCAUACCACGCUCAAAGUCGCUUAGGUCAUUGGUUUUGCCCAACGUUCAAUCGAACAGUAACUGAAUGCCUCAAUGUCUGUCUGCAUGCUUCAUAUAGCAAGCUAUAGCCACGUGACUCACUGUGUCGUAGGAGCGAUCCAUUUUGUGAACAGGGUGGUGUACCUAAAGUAACCAGUGAGUGUAUAUAUUCAUGAUAGUAAUGUCAGGUCACAGCUCGCUGCUCUUAAAGCUGGAAUCUGCAGUUGAAACAAUAACAAAGUAGACACCCCACCUCUGUUUAGGUAAAAGCUUAGGGAUGGGCCAAGAGAAAAUGUCUCUAUGGCCAUCCCUAAGCUUUUUACCAAAAUGUUUUGUUAUUGUGGGGUAUAAUCACUCUCAAACUCAUAGACAGAGCUAUGGCUGCAAAGACUGACCAUACAUGAUAUCAAAAUGAUAGCUUUAACCAUGUUUUGAGGCUUGUUUACGUUUAUAUUGUUUACAAACUUUGGAGUAAAACAAGCUUAUAUUUGGGGUUCUAAUGGGCUAUAACAGUUGAACUAAGCUCAUGAGAUCCUUCAGAAAGUAUUCACACCCUUAUUAGUUUUUCCAAAUUUUGCCUGAAUUUAAAAUGGAUUAAAUUUAGAUUUUGUGUCACUGAUCUACACAAAAUAAUGUCAACAUGUUGUUCAAAAUGUUUUUUGGAAAUGAAUAAAAAAUGAACAGCUGAAA